GAUGAAGAACGUAGCGAAAUGCGAUAAGUAAUGUGAAUUGCAGAAUUCAGUGAAUCAUCGAGUCUUUGAACGCACAUUGCGCCCCCUGGUAUUCCGGGGGGCAGGCCUGUCCGAGCGUCAUUGCUGCCCUCAAGCACGGCUUGUGUGUUGGGCCUCCGUCCUCCUCCCGGGGGACGGGCCCGAAAGGCAGCGGCGGCACCGCGUCCGGUCCUCGAGCGUAUGGGGCUUCGUCACCCGCUCUUGUAGGCCCGGCCGGCGCUUGCCGACACAUCAAUCUUUUUUCCAGGUUGACCUCGGAUCAGGUAGGGAUACCCGCUGAACUUAAGCAUAUCAAUAAGCGGAGGA
rnacentral:misc_RNA from 1 species